UACGUAGGGGGCAAGCGUUGUCCGGAUUUAUUGGGCGUAAAGAGCGUGUAGGCGGUUUGGUAGGUCCGCUGUGAAAACUCGAGGCUCAACCUCGAGACGCCGGUGGAAACCAUCAGGCUAGAGUCCGGAAGAGGAGAGUGGAAUUCCUGGUGUAGCGGUGAAAUGCGCAGAUAUCAGGAAGAACACCCGUGGCUAAGGCGGCUCUCUAGUACGGUACUGACGCUGAGACGCGAAAGCGUGGGAGCGAACAGG
rnacentral:rRNA from 1 species